rnacentral:rRNA from 1 species
GUGGUUUAAUUCGAUGCAACGCGAAAACCUUACCCACCUUUGACAUGUACGGAACCCUUUAGAGAUAGAGGGGUGCUCGAAAGAGAGCCGUAACACAGGUGCUGCAUGGCUGUCGUCAGCUCGUGUCGUGAGAUGUUGGGUUAAGUCCCGCAACGAGCGCAACCCUUGUCAUUAGUUGCUACAUUCAGUUGGGCACUCUAAUGAGACUGCCGGUGACAAGCCGGAGGAAGGUGGGGAUGACGUCAAGUCCUCAUGGCCCUUAUAGGUGGGGCUACACACGUCAUACAAUGGCUGGUACAAAGGGUUGCCAACCCGCGAGGGGGAGCCAAUCCCAUAAAGCCAGUCGUAGUCCGGAUCGUAGUCCUGCAACUCGACUACGUGAAGUCGGAAUCGCUAGUAAUCGUGGAUCAGAAUGUCACGGUGAAUACGUUCCCGGGUCUU